GUUUUUUACUCCGUUUAAUAGUAUCUGCGGAUAGUUGUUUAGUUAAGUCAGGACGCUGAUACAGCCAACUAUUAGUCAGACUCUACUGCUAUAAAUUCCUCCUGCCUCUUUAGGCAUAUUUUAUCUUUGCUCUUCCCAUUGCAGGAGUCCACUCAACUAAAUCCCAGGUAAUAAGGCCUUUACAGUUAUCCCAAUCCCUGGUGACACUUGCAACCAUUUGAUCUGCAAGGAAGACACAAAUUGCAACACGGACAAAAUAUACACAGCACAAGAGGCAUCACUAAAGACUCUUGCCCCAUAGGGAAAAGCUGAGAUUCACUUGUCCCCAAGUAGCUUGAAAACUGGUCAGAAGAAAACAGUGACAACACUCUGAAGAGUUUGCUAUUCCUCGAUUUGCAGUCAGUAUAAAUACACCAUUUUUUAAAAGGAAACAUUUGAGAUGACUGCACUGUAUACCAGUUUGUGCUCACCAUUUGACACAUCUGUGACAUUUUUGCUUCCAGAAAGGCAGUAAACAGAAUGAAGAAAAGACAGCUGUGCUGCUGCUCCCAUAUGAGCUCCAAGAUUCAUAAUUUCGUCAUGAUACCCUGAAGAAGAAAUGGACAUGGAAAACUGGCACUGAGACAUAGAUCAUCAGUCUGCUGCUGACCUAGAAACCUUGUGUUUACUGUAAGGAUGAAAUAAG
rnacentral:lncRNA from 10 species